rnacentral:rRNA from 1 species
UACGUAGGAUGCAAGCGUUGUCCGGAAUUAUUGGGCGUAAAGAGCUCGUAGGCGGUUUGUCGCGUCUGCUGUGAAACCUAAGGCUCAACCUUGGGCUUGCAGUGGGUACGGCAGACUAGAGUGCGGUAGGGUGACUGGAAUUCCUGGUGUAGCGGUGGAAUGCGCAGAUAUCAGGAGGAACACCGGUGGCGGAAGGCGGUCUCUGGGAAGUAC